rnacentral:rRNA from 1 species
GUGAGGAAUAUUGGUCAAUGGACGAGAGUCUGAACCAGCCAAGUAGCGUGAAGGAUGACUGCCCUAUGGGUUGUAAACUUCUUUUAUAUGGGAAUAAAGUGUUCCACGUGUGGGAUUUUGUAUGUACCAUAUGAAUAAGGAUCGGCUAACUCCGUGCCAGCAGCCGCGGUAAUACGGAGGAUCCGAGCGUUAUCCGGAUUUAUUGGGUUUAAAGGGAGCGUAGGUGGAUUGUUAAGUCAGUUGUGAAAGUUUGCGGCUCAACCGUAAAAUUGCAGUUGAAACUGGCAGUCUUGAGUACAGUAGAGGUGGGCGGAAUUCGUGGUGUAUCGGUGAAAUGCUUAGAUAUCACGAAGAACUCCGAUUGCGAAGGCAGCUCACUAGACUGCAACUGACACUGAUGCUCGAAAGUGUGGGUAUCAAACAGGAUUAGAUACCCUUGUAGUCC